UGGCGGACAUGCGAUUGUUCGCGCUGACGUCUGUUUCAAUGUGGGAAGUGUUACGAACAGCUGAUCAGAUCGGCAAAGCGUGUUUCUGGAAUAUUAUGUUUUUGUUCCUGCAAGCGCUUUUUAUGCAAUUUUUGCAAAGCUAUAUGUGGAAGGAAACCGUGACCUAGGACAAGCUGAUGGCAUAAGAUCAGAUUUAUUCAAGAGCAGUUGGAUUUUCUCUGGCGGUGUGUUUCAAGAAGAAAAACAGGAGCAAGGAGGCAGACGUCAGACAAUAGUCCCUACUAUAAACUUUGAACAGGCUGAUGUUGUACAUGGUGGGUAUUGAGCUACAAAAUGUCCUGGGAGCCUCAGUGCCACUGACAGAUAGAGCACCGAGGUAAUUAAUCAUAAGCACCAAGAUCAAAGUUCCUCUCUAGGAGCUCCUGUGGCUGGAACUUUUUAGUCUUUUCCUUGCAUGACCAUGCACUUACAAGCAUGCAAAUAAACAGACUCACCUGCACGCACGAACAUACACAGACACACAUACUUCACAAAAAAACCCCGAGCAACCUGUUCUGCAUUGUGGGUUAUUUAUGGCUGUAUGGUGAGGGCCCAGGUCUUUGAAUGUGUUCAGAGACAUGCGAACUACAGUAAGUGGCUUUGAAAUCCACAGUGGCACAGUAUUAAAGAAUUUCUCCUAUUAGUGAGCUGGCAAAUGCUCACCGGAAUGAAGACAGCUUACAUGAAUCACAGCAGUUAUUCACUGUGCGUGCAUCUGUGUAUAUGUGUCAUACACACAUAUGUGUGUGUAUC